rnacentral:tRNA from 1 species
GGAAAGGUGGCAGAGUGGUUGAAUGCAUCAGUUUUGAAAACUGUCGUAGCAUUAGAGCUAUCGGGGGUUCGAAUCCCCCCCUUUCCU